UCUUCUCAGGCUGUCUCCUCAAGCUCCCUCUUGAAAAUGAAGCUGCCUGUUAGGCUGUUGGUGCUGUUGUUCUGGAUUCCUGUUUCCAGCAGUGAUGUUGUGAUGACCCAAACUCCAGUCUCCCUGCCUGUCAGUCUUGGAGAUCAAGCCUCCAUCUCUUGCAGGUCUAGUCAGAGCAUUGUAAGCAGUAGUGGAAACACCUAUUUAGAAUGGUACCUGCAGAAGCCAGGCCAAUCUCCAAAGCUCCUGAUCUACAAGGUUUCCAACCGAUUUUCUGGGGUCCCAGACAGGUUCAGUGGCAGUGGUUCAGGGACUGAUUUCACACUCAAGAUCAGCAGAGUGGAGGCUGAGGAUUUGGGAGUUUAUUACUGUUUCCAAUAUACACAUGAUCCUCCCACAUCCAAUCUUUACAUCAGUAUCUGGUGGGCAGCCAAGAGCAACGGCAAUAACCUACUGUUGCUAUACAUUUCCAGACCAAAUAUGCCGUGGCAACAAAAACUCAACUCAGUUAAUAUGAUUAUCCCUAAGCCUGUUGGUGAAAAGAUAAGAAUUCAUGGAAAUCAA